CAAGUCGAGCGGUAAGGCUCCUUCGGGAGUACACGAGCGGCGAACGUUUGAGUAACACGUGAGCAAUCUGCCCUUCACUUCGGGAUAACUCCGGGAAACCGGUGCUAAUACCGAAUACGACCACUUCAGGCAUCUGAUGGUGGUGGAAAGUUCCGGCGGUGGAGGAUGAGCUCGCGGCCUAUCAGCUUGUUGGUGGGGUAACGGCCCACCAAGGCANCGACGGGUAGCCGGCCUGAGAGGGUGACCGGCCACACUGGGACUGAGACACGGCCCAGACUCCUACGGGAGGCAGCAGUGGGGAAUAUUGGACAAUGGGCGAAAGCCUGAUCCAGCAACGCCGCGUGAGGGAUGACGGCCUUUGGGUUGUAAACCUCUUUCAGCAGGACGAAGCGCAAGUGACGGUACCUGCAGAAGAAGCACCGGCCAACUACGUGCCAGCAGCCGCGGUAAUAACGUAGUGGUGCGAGCGUUGUCCGGAAUUAUUGGGCGUAAAGGGCUCGUAGGCGGUUUGCACGUCGGGAGUGAAAACUCAGGGCUUAACCCUGAGCCUGCUUCCGAUACGGGCAGACUA
rnacentral:rRNA from 1 species